AGAGGUUUAAGUUAAUCAAACUAAUGGCCUUCAAAGCCUUAAAUAAGAAUGAGAGCUUCUUAACCUCUG
rnacentral:tRNA from 1 species